AAGGUAGCGAAAUUCCUUGUCGGGUAAGUUCCGACCUGCACGAAUGGCGUAACGAUCUCCACACUGUCUCGGCCAGAGACUCGGUGAAAUUGAAGUCGCGGUGAAAAUGCCGUGUACCCGCAGAAAGACGGAAAGACCCUGUGCACCUUUACUAUAGCUUGACAUUGGGAUUUGAGCCUGCAUGUGUAGCAUAGGUGGGAGGCUGUGAACUCUGUACGCCAGUAUGGAGGGAGCCAUCGUUGAAAUACCACCCUUGUUUGUUCAGGUCCCUAACUCUUCGCCGUGAUCCGGUAAGAGGACAGUGUCUGGUGGGUAGUUUGACUGGGGCGGUCGCCUCCCAAAAUGUAACGGAGGCAUGCAAAGGUUCCCUCAGGCUGAUUGGAAACCAGCCGUCGAGUGCAAACGCAAAAGGGAGCUUGACUGCAAGAGAGACAUCUCGAGCAGGUACGAAAGUAGGUGUUAGUGAUCCGGUGAUCCCGAAUGGAAGGGUCAUCGCUCAUUGGAUAAAAGGUACGCCGGGGAUAACAGGCUGAUCGCAUCCAAGAGUUCACAUCGACGAUGCGGUUUGGCACCUCGAUGUCGGCUCAUCACAUCCUGGGGCUGAAGCAGGUCCCAAGGGUACGGCUGUUCGCCGUUUAAAGUGGUACGCGAGCUGGGUUUAAAACGUCGUGAGACAGUUUGGUCCCUAUCUUCUGUGGGCGUAGGAGAAUUGAAAGGGCCUGUCCCUAGUACGAGAGGACCGGGAUGGACACACCACUGGUGGACCUGUUGUCGUGCCAACGGCACAGCAGGGUAGCUAUGUGUGGAAGGGAUAACCGCUGAAAGCAUCUAAGCGGGAAGCCUGCCUUAAGAUAAGUUCUCCCUGACGCAAGUCCUGAAGGGCCGAGGUAGACGACCUCGUUGAUAGGCUGGAGGUGGAAGCCCUGUGAGGGGUGGAGCUGACCAGUACUAAUAGCCCGUGCGUCUUGUUUCU
rnacentral:rRNA from 1 species